GUGGGUGCACCGUCAAGUUGGAGUCUGAACUUGAUAAAUUGGCGCUCUUGGAAAAGGUGGGUGAGAGUCAUUGUGGAUGUGGAUAGGAGCAGAGCGGUUCUGAGCAGGACGCCAAAACAGAGGAAGCUUCGGAGGACGCUUGUGCCUUCCUGAGAAUGAGGCCACGGAGCACAGCGGGAGCCAGGGGGAGUUUCACAAAGGCUACUUUUGACUUGGUUUUGCAAUCACCUUUUUACUAGUAGGUUUUGUUUCGUUUGUCUUCUGUUGGGAAUUUAAAUAUUAGGAAAACAAUUUGGGAUUAUCUGUCUAGACUACCCUGUCAGUCCAUCUGAGGCUUGUGUCAUCUUAGAGCUAGCUAUAUAUUAGGUAAGGCUUAAAGGCUAGCUGAAGGGUGACGCUUCCCUCAGCUAGGAGGAGAUGGUUUUUUAAAGGCUUGCUGAAGGGCGGUGCUUCCCUCAGCUAGGAGGAGAUGGUUUUUUACAG
rnacentral:lncRNA from 1 species